rnacentral:rRNA from 1 species
UACGGGGGGGGCAAGCGUUGUUCGGAAUUACUGGGCGUAAAGGGCUCGUAGGUGGCCAACUAAGUCAGACGUGAAAUCCCUCGGCUUAACCGGGGAACUGCGUCUGAUACUGGAUGGCUUGAGUUUGGGAGAGGGAUGCGGAAUUCCUGGUGUAGCGGUGAAAUGCGCAGAUAUCAGGAAGAACACCCGUGGCGAAGGCGGCUCUCUGGUACGUGACUGACGCUGAGACGCGAAAGCGUGGGGAGCAAACAGG